UGCUUUGCAAGCAGGGGGUCGUCGGUUCGAUCCCGUCCGGCUCCACCAUCAUAGGCUAUUUAUGCGUUAUGGAUCA
rnacentral:tRNA from 1 species